UAGGUGUAACUGUUCAUGUAAUGUUGUUGGCUGACGGUGCGAUUCCUUGGUAGAGCUUGAUUUUUACUUUACUGUUAUCAGGAAAAUAUUUUCUCGUUGUACGAAUGCUUUAAUUAAAGUUUUGCACGUAUAACCUAUAUAAUAUAUAAGAAAUAAUAUAGUACAACAACUUCUUAAAGUAAGAAAAAAAGUUAAGUCCCUGCUAUAUCAUCUUUCCGGCAAGAUUUCUUCAUAACUAAAUUAAACUAAUAUAAAUCAAUAAUCAAGCUGUAUAAAAUAACUAAGCAAACAUAUGUUGAAUCAUUUAAUAAGUACAUUACAGUACUAAAUCACCAAACACCUAUUACGAAUUUAUAAACAAGCUUGUGAUAAAUUUACCUUGUCACAAUCAGUAAGUCGCUCCUUGUAACAACUGUCACUAUAUAUGUUACAAUCCAUACAGUGGCUAGUUGUUUAUUUGGAUUGUUCUUCUAUUAGUAGUUACAGACUUGAUUAUUGUAUGGAUUUGCUAAGUUGUUUCGUCGAAUCUUCAAUGCAGACGAUAACUAUAACAGCUCUUCUAAACCACGAUAUUAUUGUCACGAUCUUUCCUCGACUGAAUGAUCACCUCGAGUAACGCAGAUCUGUCGUGACCAUGGAAGGACACCAAAUCCCGGCGCAAGUCAUUAACAAUGGGCGAAUUAAUGCUUGUCUGUUGGGGUGGCGAUAUACGGCGCGAUGAAAAUGUGACACAUAGUGUUGCAAAAACGAAGCAAUCUGAUCUACUCUGGCUCCCAACAAAAUCGAUAAAUAUAUAUGUGUGUGUGUGCGCGUGCAUGUAAGUGUGUGAGCGAACUCAUACGUGAGAUUCUACUAUGGGCAAAGUUGUAUUGUUCUAAUAUGCUAAAGAAACCGUGCCAGGGGGUAGUGCUAGCUAGUAAUUGUGUCUUCUAAUUAGAAACUGAGUGAGCUAAAAAUUGACAUCACCCACGUGACUCGUGCAGUUUCCUCGUGGCAACAAGGAAACUUCUUCAUCCAUCUUACAACCUGCAGUAACAUGGAUGAUAAAUACCCCAAGUACCAAUAACCUGCCAACAGACUACUUGACCUUUCAUAACUCUGUGAAGCAUGACCUCUGAACUGAAGAAAUAAAAGUUGCAUUAUACAGGUAACAGUCUAAAUGAACCAUGGAAUUGUUUCUAUUGAUACCUCGGGUUGAGAAAUGCUACUUCUAGCAUGAAAUGUCUCGUAAGUUCAUCCCUGAUGAUCACAUGGAAAACGUCGAAUAAUGUAAGAGUCAACAUUUUAAAGGUCAUAGAUUGGCCUGAAUUAAAAAGUUUUUAAUGUAUUUUAAC